GUCACUUUGCCGGAGUGGUUAACGGGAUCGCCUGCUAUUACAUAACCAGCGAAGCGGUUGGGCUUUGCCCGCGUGUGUUCGAAUCGCACAGGUGACG